UUGUUUCCAAGGUUUCCAAGGAAGGCUUCUUCACUGGGUCCUUAUGUAUAUUAUUCUGUUUUAAGGAAAAUAACAGUUAACUUGAGCAGGAAAACUCUUAUCAGCAUAGAGAGGCUAGAAAAUAAUUGUGCUUAGAAAUAACAGUUACUUCCAGCUGGAAAACAAAAAAGACAGAACAGCUUGCAGGGGCAGGAAAAUACAAGUUAUUGUACCUCAGUUCCAUUAACUGCUGUUGAAUCUUGUCUGGUGCUAUGGAAUGGAAUACAGUGGGCAAUGAAGCAAGUUGCAUGUGGAGACGAUCUUGAGAUAUUCAGUAUGAUGUCCAAAUUUCAUUGGAAAAGAAUUUGAGAAGUGAUCAGGUUUUUGAAAUUGAUCAAAAAGCUGAUCCACAGGAAGAAGUAAACACCAAUGAAGGUACAUUUAACACCAAGAAAUGACUGUAGAUUGAAGAAGUGCUUGAAAGAUUUAAAUGAGCAGCUACUUUGCUGUAUCUGUCAUGAACUGAUGGUAUUGGCACACACUUUGCCUUGCUCACACACUUUCUGUUUUGGUUGUAUCAGGGACU